UCUGGGAUAACUCAAGGGUAGAGUGCCUGUCUGUUAAACAGGAAGUUCAGAAUUCAAAUCUCUGUCCCAGAGCCA
rnacentral:tRNA from 1 species